ACUCCUACGGGAGGCAGCAGUGGGGAAUUUUGGACACUGGGGGCAACCCUGAUCCAGCAAUGCCGCGUGAGUGAAGAAGGCCUUCGGGUUGUAAAGCUCUUUUGUCAGGGAAGAAACGGUGGUGGCGAAUGACUACUACUAAUGACGGUACCUGAAGAAUAAGCACCGGCUAACUACGUGCCAGCAGCCGCGGUAAUACGUAGGGUGCAAGCGUUAAUCGGAAUUACUGGGCGUAAAGCGUGCGCAGGCGGUUGUGUAAGUCAGAUGUGAAAUCCCCGGGCUCAACCUGGGAAUUGCAUUUGAGACUGCACGGCUAGAGUGUGUCAGAGGGGGGUAGAAUUCCACGUGUAGCAGUGAAAUGCGUAGAUAUGUGGAGGAAUACCGAUGGCGAAGGCAGCCCCCUGGGAUAACACUGACGCUCAUGCACGAAAGCGUGGGGAGCAAACAGGAUUAGAUACCCCAGUAGUCCCA
rnacentral:rRNA from 1 species